AGUGAACGCUGGCGGUAGGCCUAACACAUGCAAGUCGAACGGCAGCACAGUAAGAGCUUGCUCUUACGGGUGGCGAGUGGCGGACGGGUGAGGAAUACAUCGGAAUCUACUUUUUCGUGGGGGAUAACGUAGGGAAACUUACGCUAAUACCGCAUACGACCUACGGGUGAAAGCAGGGGAUCUUCGGACCUUGCGCGAUUGAAUGAGCCGAUGUCGGAUUAGCUAGUUGGCGGGGUAAAGGCCCACCAAGGCGACGAUCCGUAGCUGGUCUGAGAGGAUGAUCAGCCACACUGGAACUGAGACACGGUCCAGGCUCCUACGGGAGGCAGCAGUGGGGAAUAUUGGACAAUGGGCGCAAGCCUGAUCCAGCCAUACCGCGUGGGUGAAGAAGGCCUUCGGGUUGUAAAGCCCUUUUGUUGGGAAAGAAAAGCAGCGGGUUAAUACCCCGCUGUUCUGACGGUACCCAAAGAAUAAGCACCGGCUAACUUCGUG
rnacentral:rRNA from 1 species